rnacentral:sRNA from 1 species
UCGAUACCCGGUCGUCGUUCGACGACUAGAU